CCUUUCCCUUUCCUUCCCUCAGCAUCCUACUUCUAGCCUGUGUCUUCAGUUGUGUACCUUGAGAACACAUCGAUGAAACAAAAGGGAAGGAGGGCGAUCUGAAAUGUGAUGUCGUCUAUUAAAGGAGUUUAAUUUAGAGGCAAUUCUACCCAUCGAAACGAAGCUGUUCUCAGAAAAAGAAAAAAAUAAAAUAACCAAGGGGUCGGAUUUCCCGGUGAUACAUGGCAACAAGGCCGCCCCAGUGGUCGCAAAGAGACUAACCGGAAAGUAUUGGGAUAAUUGGCUUGAUUUAAAUCCGAAUGAUGCUGCUAGGGCACAGCCCUCUUCCACAGGUUUCUUCUGUCUUAGCAGUGAGCCCCUUGCUCUGUGAAAGCAGUAAGAAGUGUCCCAGCACACGCUCAGCCCUGGCAAACGGACUUCUCCCCGAAAUCACUACACAUACUUCAUACUGCAGGUUCUGCUGUUGAUGGAGCUGUCAAUAUGCCCUAGCAAAACAAAGCCCGGGAGUGAAUGCUAAGAAGUUAAAGGGAAAUUCUUCAGAACCAUUUAAUAAUCUUAUAAAAGCGAACAUGCAAGAGAUGUCCCCACACGGAUCGUCCAUCAGAAAAAAAACUAAUAGAAAGUGAAAGUUCCCUCGGAGUUUUGAAUAACAAAUAAGUGUAUAAAAAUUUAAAUCUCUUGGGAUUUGAGUUUCCUUUGUUUUCUUCUCCUCGGUCUCGGUCUCAGUAAGAUUCUUGACAAAAUCUGUUUUUGUGCAGGUGACGCUUUUAGCUUGGUGCUUUGAAGUGCUGCGGAAGGGGACAGCAGCUAAGUUUCACAGAGCAGAUAAUCGUCCCAGUCUUCACGAAGAAGUGACAAGGAACUCUACAAUUGGAGCCUUAACAGUUCAUUCCUGGCAACACUUGAGCAUUGAAAUGGGUCUUUGGGAUUGCGUGGAACUCUAGGGCUCAAUUGUCCACUUUCCCCACUGUGGAUAGACACAACACGCAGGUGCACGGGGGCACAGGGCAAAAGGGGUGGAAGAGGUGACUCCCCAGGGGGAUAUCUGAAUGGGGUCCCUGAGUGUCCCAGGCACCAGGCUCCACUGCCCAGGAACGCAGAUCUCAGAGAAACAGACGGGUAGCCUGGGCUGGGUGUCAUGGCUCAGGUGUCCAAAGAGAUGUGGUGGGAAUCAUCCAAUCUUUGUUUUAUCUUUAUUAGGUUUCCUACACACUCAAGUAAAUGAAGACCCCAAACUUCAACUUCUCUUUUGCUUUAAGACAGGGGCACCCAAACUACCACAAUUAAGAAAGGAACUCUCCACCCCCGUCUGGCAUGAAGGCAUAACUCCCGGGGAAUUUCCUGGGUUUCCUUUCGGUUUUCGUCUGAAGAAUGGCAGCUCCGACAUGAAUGAACUCGGCGGCUAAUUGUUGCAUGGUUUUUCUUGUAGUGAUCUGGGUGUUUUAUUCGCUCCUUCACUUUCCAUCAGUGCUGAAUGAGCCUUACCAUGUGAAACGUUGCAGUUCGAUAAAAUAAGCAAAUUAAUCAAGUCAAGUGUGCUUCCAAGCUGGGCAGACACUUUUCAGGGUGCUGGGCAUUUAUAGCUCUUCCCAGUUGAUAUUUAUAACCCAGCCAUAUGUGGUUAUAAAGAUUUAUUACGAGCCUGUGGAAUAAGUUCUGUUAAUGUAUACACUCAGCGUCCCAGCUUUGGCUCUGUAAGCCUGGGAGAUUUCUAAUAAGACGAGGCCAUUCUAAUCGCAAGCCAAGCACCAUGCACUUGGCGCGGAGCCUCGGAUUGAAAGAGGGCCAAAGCUGCAGCCCUCAGACUAUACUCACCCUGUGUGUGCCUUUGCUAAAAAUGUUUGCAAAGCUCAGGCAGGUAUUUUUCUUCUUUAUCCUCACCAUCCCCAUCUCAGAAGAGCUGAGCUGGGAGAAUCUGUGGACUGAAAAUCUAAAUGGAAAAAUUUGAGGCCACAGAUGAGACCAGACUAGAAAGACAGGGCAGGCAAAGCAGGCUGGGAGCGUGGUGAAUGAGGCAUCUGUAUGCCUACCCCCGGCCUUGUCCAGCCUUGGAGUAGCUACUCAGCUCAUCAGGACAGAGAAUGGCAGGCACCAGCUGGGGUCAACCACUCUCCUUGCCCAGCUAACAAAAAGGCGGAGGACUCAGCUCCUUCCCUUGACGCACUCCCUUCAUUUCAUGAGACUUCUCUGGUCCUUAGAGUAUGUGUGUGUUCUUCAAGCAAAUACUUGCCACCUGGGGGAAAAAUAAGGGCUCUGUCUUCAUCUGUUGUGGACUGCAAAAAUAACAUCUCACAGUCUUUCAAAGAUAUAAAUAAAAACUUAAAAAAAUUGCUCUAAGCCCCUCUUCUAGUUGGGAACCAAGAGUUACAGCAUGGUCAGAAAAUGGCCUUUCUCCAAGAGCCUUUUGCAGGGAAAGCCUGGGUCCAGAGCUUGCAGAGAGAGGCCAGCAGGCUCCCACUCUGCACACUUCCCCAUGGGAAUGUGCCCUCCGCAGGUGCCCACAACCCCCUGGCAGCUCUCCAGCCCCCACCCCCGCCUUGCAAAGGGCCACACUGAGGAAUAAUUUACAGAUGGACUGUUCCGGGUCCCAGCUGCUUUUCUAGCAGGUUAGAUGCCCUCCGCUGAAGUAGUCCCGAGAUAUCUCUGGGAGCCGGUUUCAUGCCUGAUUUUAUUGCCGUCAGCAUCAUAAGGGUACUUUGAUAUUUAUCCCAAAGGAACAACUGCUACAGAAUUGCAGAUAUUCAGUAAUGCCAGACCUCCUAGCUCUAGAGAAAUUGUUAAGAAUCUCUCUGGCUAUUGGCCGGCGCCGUGGCUCACUAGGCUAAUCCUCCGCCUAGCGGCGCCGGCACACCGGGUUCUAGUCCCGGUCGGGGCGCCGGAUUCUGUCCCGGUUGCCCCUCUUCCAGGCCAGCUCUCUGCUGUGGCCAGGGAGUGCAGUGGAGGAUGGCCCAGGUGCUUGGGCCCUGCACCCCAUGGGAGACCAGGAAAAGCACCUGGCUCCUGGCUCCUGCCAUCGGAUCAGCGCGGUGCGCCGGCCGCAGCGCGCCGGCCGCGGCGGGCAUUGGAGGGUGAACCAACGGCAAAGGAAGACCUUUCUCUCUGUCUCUCUCUCUCCCUUUCUCUCUGUCUCUCUCUCUCUCACUCUGCCUGUCAAAAAAUAAAAAAAUAAAAAAAAAAGAA